ensembl:lncRNA HCG18 HLA complex group 18
CCCGAGGAAUCCUCUGGAGAUACAGGCCCGCGCAUGCGCGUGCUCGAGCGCUGAAGCCCAUUGCCCGCAGGGCGCUGGACUGGCGCCCCGGCCGGCGAGGCUGUCUAGUCCAGGCUCCAGGCCCCGGCUCUGGCCAGGCGCCGCCGCCUCCCGGUGCAGCUGAAAGUCGACGAAGAGGGCGGGGCGGGGGCGGCUUGUGGACUUCCACACUUUUCCUCUCUUCGGGCCAGUCUGGGGAGAGGGUGGCUAGCUGUGGCGGCGGCCAAUUACGUGGCGGACCUGCGGGGCUAAGCUGGCACGUCACUUCCGACUAGUGGAGUUUUUAGCCUUUUAACAUUCAAGGAUUAGGUAAAAGUCUUGCAGUGAAAAACCCGAGGACCCUUACCGCAAGUGUCUUUUGCUCCCAGCUACUGAUACUGGAUUCCACUCGUGAUUCUCCCUUUCUUAGCGCAUUCAUGAUAUAGACAUCAGUCUCUGAGCUGGAGGAGGACAAAGGCAGCGGUCCUGUGAAUUCUAUGCUCUAGCUUGGGUUAAGGGAUUUGGAAUUGCACUUGUUUCAGAGAGCUCCCUCUUUGCCCACUAGCAGGGCAUUAGCUGGUGCUGAAGACAGUGGCUGCUUGGCGAGCCUGGAUCUCCAAGUGACCCCCUCAGCAACUCCUGAUGAACAGGACUGAAGCCAAUAUUAAAGCAAGUCAACCAAAGGUUCUCUGGUGUAGACAAGACAGCAAAAGGACAGACUACCUUGUGGAACCUAGCAUUGUUCUCCUUCUGCAGCACUAAGUAACAUUUGUUCUCCGUUAAGAUCUUUGCAAACCACACACAAGAAUUGCUGGUCAUCCUGCCAAUAGAUGCUGCUCACAGAACCAAAUUUCCUGUGCUGAAUUGUCACUCAUGGGCUUGAGAGUAGGAGACUGGAGACCAAGGUGGCUAGAAUCCAGUUGGGCCUGAUGUCUCCCUGUUGAAAGGGCUCCUUGUGGAAUGAAUAGCACAUGGCUCCUGUGGUGGAUCUGAUAGUGGCAUAGCACCAAGUGAUGCAGGCCUGCCAGGGGCCACAGACACAGAAGAUGCUCCCGGGGUCCCCCAUGUACUCCAGACACACUGCAGGCCACCUCUCCCAGCAGGUUGCCAGUCAUGGGCCCCAUCAUCAUGACUUCUGUCCAAGGGACUUGCACUUAGGAAUCUGUUACAGUGAGCACAGAAGCAGACCUGUGGGCUCAUAGUCUUCACCCCCCACCCAUAUAUACAAGAUGAACAGAGUGGAGGUUAAACAACUUGACUAAACAACACAGUUCAUGGUAAAGCCCAAGACUGUACCUGCCCAUCCACUGCCUUUUCCAUGUAUCCUGGAACUGAGCAUAGACCUCUUCCCAGGCAGAGCUGACAGCAAGUAAAGGAGAUCAUAAUCAGGGGACCAAACAACUUUGUCUAAAGUGUGAAUGUCACCUAAGGAGAAGCUGUGAGAUCAGAAGGGUGGGGCAGAGGAGCAGACACCAUGAGGGAGAGUCCUUGGGGGUACAUCUGCCAGACUGACACUGUCUGGCCUGGGCAGUGGAGGGGCUAGCAGGAACCACAGGUACUGGUGGUGUGGCUACUACCGUUACAACUGCCUGUGCUUGGACAUGGACCCUCUGCAAUAUGCGGCAGUUUCAUUCAUUGCCCCCUACAUUCUACACCAAGUAGAAAUGGAAGGCAAUUGGAUACUUCACAGACAAGAUCUAAGUGGAGAAGGAAUGCGUCCUGUGGCUGCAGAGAUCCUUGGAGCUUGGAGGGGAGAGCUUGAGCCCCACUGAUGAUGACCUCCCACAGCUCGCCAACUCAGCCCUCCCUAAGUCCCCAUCGGGGGCCAAUUCUCACUCUGGGGUUGGGGGGACUCCACCAUAGCUCAUCCAUCAUAGGGAUGUUGGUAUCUACUGUGGGUUGGGUAGGGCCGAUGUGCUGAGGAUGGCUCCCCCACAAGCAAGAGAUGUGGAUUUGGGGAGCUUCCCAUCUUGUGUUGAAGGAACAUAACUCAGAAUAAUAAGAGCCAACUAUAACAAACCCACAGCCAACAUCAUACUGAAUGGGCAAAAGCUGCAGGCAUUCCCCUUGAAAAGUGGCACAGGAUAAGGAAGCCCUUUCUCACCACUCCUAUUCAAUAUAGUGUUGAAAGUCCUGAUCACAGCAGUCAGGCAACAGAAAUAAUAAAGGGCAUCCAAAUAGGAAGAGAGGAAGUCAAACUAUCCUUGUUUGCAGACAGUAUGAUUCUAUAUCUAGAAAACCCCAUAGCCUCAGCCCAAAAGGUCCUUCAUCUGAUAAUUUCAGCAAAGUUUCAGGAGACAAAAUCAGUGUACAAAAAUCACUAACAUUCCUAUACACAGUCGCCAAGCCAAGAGCCAAAUCAGGAGCACAAU